GGUUGGGUUGCUGGGUGGAAACCGAAGCUGGGUGGAAAUCUGAAGCUGGAAGGAAAUCUGAAGCUACCUGGGAGACUACUUCCCCAGUAGUCCUUAAAUGAAAGCUCAACACUUUAAAUCUUACUGGGGGAGGGCACAGAGGGCUCCCCAAGAAAGGGAGCCUCUGAGAAGACUUAAAGGAAAUACUCCCCAAGACACAAGGGACAUUGAUAUUGUUUUGGGGGGCCAGGAGAGUGACAGGAAGGGGGUAGGGUUCACCUGAAGAGGCUGGGUCCGAGUGGCAAGGAGGCCACCUGCUUCCAGGGGACCAUGGGCAGUGACAUCACCAGCAGCAGCCACUCGUCACCUUUUCCUUGUGUUCUGGGCACCACAACAAGAAGUCAUAGGUAGCAUCCCAGGCUAUGCAGCAAUGCCAGGAUGUAAUCAAGAUCCAGGGAGAACAAACCUAAUUCCUGUUUCAUGUGACGUGCCCAGCCUGUAUCAGACUGAAGAUUCCUGCUUCCCCCUCCCCCAUGCCAGUUUUUAAUUUUUCAGGGUUUUUGUGAAGAUAAAUGAGAUAAUCUUUGUGAAAGUAGUCUGAGUUCUCUCCAAGGCUGGAAUGUAACUAUGGAAACAACAUGUCCCCAAUUUUUGAGGACAGAUUCGCUUCUAUCUGAUGAACUCUUAUUUCAUACCUUUAAAUUUUUGAAUAUGUAAUACAUUCACAGGGCUCAAAAAUUCAAAAGUACAAAAAGGUAUACAUUGAAAAGUCUUACUGCCAUCCUUAUCCCCCAUCCUUUUAGUUCCUGACUUCUGUCUCCAUGCCCCUACGUAACCACUUUAAUUCCUUUUUGGAUAGCAUUCCAUAAUUUCUUUAUUUAAGUCCUUACAGAUGUAUGUUUCCCCACUGUGUCCCCCAUCCUGCUCCUCACUUCUUUCUAUUCACAUUCUAUCUUGAAGAUA